GAGUUUGUCGGUUGGUCGGGCUUCACUGUCCGCACUGACCUGAUGGAUUCCUACCUUCUGAAUAACCAGCAUGCUAUUAAGUUAGUGCGUUGGGGAAGCAGAGCUAUUACCUUGAAAAAAUUAGAGUGUUUAAAGCAGGCUAACGUCUGAAUACAUUAGCAUGGAAUAAUGAAAUAGGACGGCAUGGCUCUAUUUUGUUGGUUUCUAGGAUCACCGUA
rnacentral:rRNA from 1 species